CACGUAGGGCGCAAGCGUUGUCCGGAAUUAUUGGGCGUAAAGAGCUCGUAGGUGGUUUGCUGCGUCCGCUGUGAAAACCCAAGGCUUAACCUUGGGCUUGCAGUGGAUACGGGCAGACUAGAGGUAGGUAGGGGAGACUGGAAUUCCUGGUGUAGCGGUGAAAUGCGCAGAUAUCAGGAGGAACACCGGUGGCGAAGGCGGGUCUCUGGGCCGAUACUGACGCUGAGGAGCGAAAGCGUGGGGAGCGAACAGG
rnacentral:rRNA from 1 species